GUGCCAGCCGCCGCGGUAAUACCGGCAGCCCGAGUGAUGGCCGAUAUUAUUAGGCCUAAAGCGUCCGUAGCUGGCCGAACAAGUCCGUCGGGAAAUCCACUUGCUCAACAGGUGGGCGCCCGGUGGAAACUGUGCGGCUUGGGACCGGAAGGCUCGACGGGUACGUCCGGGGUAGGAGUGAAAUCCCGUAAUCCUGGACGGACCACCGAUGGCGAAAGCACUUCGAGAAAACGGAUCCGACAGUGAGGGACGAAAGCCAGGGUCUCCAACCGGAUUAGAAACCCGGGUAGUCC
rnacentral:rRNA from 1 species